AUAACGACUCUCGGCAACGGAUAUCUCGGCUCUCGCAUCGAUGAAGAACGUAGCGAAAUGCGAUACUUGGUGUGAAUUGCAGAAUCCCGCGAAUCAUCGAGUCUUUGAACGCAAGUUGCGCCCGAAGCCAUUCGGCCGAGGCACGUCUGCCUGGGUGUCACGC
rnacentral:rRNA from 6 species